rnacentral:rRNA from 1 species
AACGCGAAGAACCUUACCUACCCUUGACAUCCUCGGAAUCCGCUAGAGAUAGUGGAGUGCCUUCGGGAACCGAGAGACAGGUGCUGCAUGGCUGUCGUCAGCUCGUGUCGUGAGAUGUUGGGUUAAGUCCCGUAACGAGCGCAACCCCUAUCCUUAGUUGCCAACAGGUUAUGCUGGGAACUCUAAGGAGACUGCCGGUGAUAAGCCGGAGGAAGGUGGGGAUGACGUCAAGUCCUCAUGGCCCUUACGGGUAGGGCUACACACGUGCUACAAUGGGCAGUACAGAGAGAAGCGAAGCCGCGAGGUGGUGCGAAUCUUUUAAAAGCUGUUCGUAGUCCGGAUUGGAGUCUGCAACUCGACUCCAUGAAGUUGGAAUCGCUAGUAAUCGCGGAUCAGAACGCCGCGGUGAAUACGUUCCCGGGCCUUGUACACACCGAUACUC